UUAUUUUAUUUGGUAAAAUCAAGUAAUUCAGCUCGUGCAAGAAAGCACCGGAGCUCGUCUCCCUCUUGGAGCCCGCCCCCUUCCUGCUGUCCGAAACAGGUGGAGAGAAUCGACUUCUCUCCUCAGUCUUGUCUUCGUCUCUCGUCACAUGAACUAGUUUUUUUGGUUCCCAAGAGAGAGAGUUGAUUGUGCGGGUCUGCUCGCUCUUCUCUGAGCCGCCCCCUUUGGUACCUUUGAAAACUGAACCAGUCGUGGAGGAGUCCGCAGCGAACACAAUCCAAAGUAAGGUUGCGUUCUCAGCUCGUGUUUGAAACCAGAAGGGUCGUGUCCAACAUCAAAAGCCGAGUCCAGAUCUCUUAUACAAACUCGUUAAUCACAUUUUCUUUAAUCACAUUUCGUUAAAUCAAUUCCAACCUCUCGUUUUAAUUAGUUACUUUCACCUUAUAACUUCACCAUACCAAUGUCAUAUACCUUAUAGUUUCAUUAAUAUACUCAUCCAUAUAUAUUCAUUGAUAUGUGUCUCAUUAAUCUGCAUUAUUGUUCAAUUACUUCAUUAAAGUUACACGUAAACCUUCA